AUGAAAACGCUUGGAUCAAGAGAGGCAAAAAUGACAUGGGAAGUCCCUGAUGGCAGCGGGAGGCACAUGGGGACACCGAGCUCAGGGCUGUGUCCCCCACACCUCCAUGCCCCAGGGAUUUUCUCUAUAGCCACAGCCCCAGCUGUUCCACUGUGCUGUUUAUUUCACACGUCCUGCCUGCUCCCAAAAUCAGGAACGGGAGAUGAGAUAGCAUUGGAAGAGUGUUGGAGCCCUUGUGGGUCGUGUCCCAGGCACCCGUGCAGAUGCUGUCCAUCUGAAGUGAAACCUCUCCUUGCCUUGUCGCGCCCUCUUCCCUCCAUACUCCCAUCAUCAGCAACAUCGUUGGUUAUUUCUGGUGCCCAUCUCUCACUCUCGCGGAAGGCGCCACAAGGGGAGUUCACCCGCGAAGGGGCGGGACUUUGUGACGUCAUCACCACACGCCCAGAACCACACCUGACACCUGGUCGCUGCGUGACAGAGCCCUGUGUGCUCUUGGAGGUCUGCAGCCUGUUCCUCCAGGGAGACAAGGAAGUUGACAGCCUCGAAUGCCCCAGCUCUGCUGGAGAUGCAGAUCAGGGCAGAACGCAGGAAGAUGGUUUGGCCUGUGACAUCCCUUACUCUGGACUCUCUGGAUCCUGGGAUGGAAAGCAGGCAUCCUUCAAGGGACAAGCUGUGUCUCCGUGGGACAUGCGUGUACAACAGGACUUUGUUCAGGCACUGAGGAAGCCGAAUGUUCCAUGAUCAUCAGCCUCGAGGUUCUCGGGAAGGACUGUGGUCUGGAGACUGCAGCCCCCAGCCCGGGGAGCUCCGCUGGCUGUCCAUCAAGUCCAGCCUUGACCCGAGCCUGGAAGAGGUUUCGUGCUGCUUGUCGUGUGACCCGGGGACAGUCACUUCCUGUCUCUCGCCAUCACUGCCUCCUGUGAAAAAAUGAAGGCGUUGGAACGGGCAGCCUCUAAGGCAUCUUCCAGACAGAAAGCUCUCCUCUGCUUAUAG
rnacentral:lncRNA from 1 species